rnacentral:rRNA from 1 species
CAGUCGCCGCGGUAAUACGCAGGUGGCAAGCGUUGUCCGGAAUUAUUGGGCGUAAAGGGCUCGCAGGCGGUUUCUUAAGUCUGAUGUGAAAGCCCCCGGCUCAACCGGGGAGGGUCAUUGGAAACUGGGAAACUUGAGUGCAGAAGAGGAGAGUGGAAUUCCACGUGUAGCGGUGAAAUGCGUAGAGAUGUGGAGGAACACCAGUGGCGAAGGCGACUCUCUGGUCUGUAACUGACGCUGAGGAGCGAAAGCGUGGGGAGCGAACAGGAUUAGAUACCCGUGUAGUCCCUGUCUCUUAUAC